GACUGGAUAGCCUAAUUGUAAAGGCAUCACAUUGACAAUGCUGAGGUCCCAGGCUCAACUCCUGGUCUAGUCA
rnacentral:tRNA from 1 species